UACGAAGGGAGCUAGCGUUGUUCGGAAUUACUGGGCGUAAAGGGCUCGUAGGCGGCCAACUAAGUCAGACGUGAAAUCCCCAGGCUUAACCUGGGAACUGCGUCUGAUACUGGAUGGCUUGAAUUCGGGAGAGGGAUGCAGAAUUCCAGGUGUAGCGGUGAAAUGCGUAGAUAUCUGGAGGAAUACCGGUGGCGAAGGCGGCAUCCUGGACCGACAUUGACGCUGAUGAGCGAAAGCUAGGGGAGCAAACGGG
rnacentral:rRNA from 1 species